rnacentral:lncRNA from 1 species
AGAACACGCCAGGGUGGAGACAGGAGAUCUGUGUGCUUCCCGAGUACAGAUCACGGCUCAGCAUCUCAUGGGAAAGGGACAGGGCUCUCUUCAGGACACGCAGUAAGAUUUCAAGUGCGGGCACUUUUAAUACUCCGCGAUCCAAAGGCAGCUCCAGGGCCAGCCGCGGUUUCCGGCCUCAAGGGCAGGCUCGGUUCUGGAGCUCCCUCCAGUGGCCGUCGGGGUGCCGUCACUUUCAGGGCCCCACCAGGAGAGCAGGGGCCCCGCCGAGGACCAGAGCGCCUGGACCAGAGGGAGCCCUGCGCGGCCGGCACGGAUGCCUCUCAAUAGGCGGCAUGGGGCCGACACGACUCGCCCAUAUUUGGUUCUCAUGAAAACAGAAGCUCCGUGGAGAAAGCGAAGAAAGUCCUUGAAAGUCGCCUGUUCAAAGCCGCCACUGCCGUGAUGCCCCCUGACUCCGCACCCCGCCGCCGUGACGCCCCCCACGACCCCGCACCCUGCUGCAGUGACGCCCCCGACCCCUCACCCCGCUGCCGUCACACACCCCGACCCCGCUGCCGUCACUCCCCACGACCCCCCACCCCGCUGCCGUCACGCUCCGUGACCCCCGACCCCGACACCCUGCUGCCGUGAUGUUCCCCCAACCCUGCACCCCGCUGCCGUGACGCCCGCCCCGACCCCGCACCCCGCUGCUGUCACGCCCCCGACCCCGCACCCCGCCGCCGUCACGCCCGACCCCUCACCCCGCUACUGUGACGCCCCCCGACCCCUCACCCCGCUGCCGUCACACACCCCGACCCCGCUGCCGUCACUCCCAACCCCCCACCCCGCUGCCGUCACGCUCCGUGACCCCCGACCCCGACACCCUGCUGCCGUGAUGUUCCCCCAACCCUGCACCCCGCUGCCGUGACGCCCGCCCCGACCCCGCACCCCGCUGCCGUCACGCCCCCGACCCCGCACCCCGCCGCCGUCACGCCCGACCUCUCACCCCGCUACUGUGACGCCCCCCGACCCCGCACCCCGCCGCCGUCACUCCCCCGACCCCGCACCCCGCUGCCGUGACACCCCCCGGCCCCCAUCCCGCUGCCAUCACGCCUCCCGGCCCCCGCACCCUUGUCUGUGUCCCACAGCACAGGACCUGUCAGCGAGCGUCUGGCGCCUUCCUCCCUCCCCUGCAGAGACCCGCCAGGCCCCUCCAACAGGUGCUUUCUAAACUGCAAUUUCCUCAUCUACAAAAGGACAAUCACAACAACGGAACCCAGGGGACAGGACUGCAUCAACUACAACCAGACGGCGUAGACGGCAGCACACGGCCCUCGGCAAAUCAGAGAAACACUGCUGUGCAAGAACCUGCAAAUCCCUAAGGCGUCUGUGUCCGAUGGCCCCGGCCCCAUGCUCUGAGGUCGCGCAGGUGUCCAAGGCCAGGAGGGGCACCGAGGAGACGAAGAAGAAACAGCACAGCAGCUGGGGAGGUUUUCUGUGCCUGUUUUCGGUGAGCACAGAACAACUGAAGGAAGCGCGGGACAGACACAAGGGCGGGCCUCGGUGCCACGGCUGGCCUUGGGCAGAGGGAAAUGCUUUGUGUACUUUCUCUGGGAAGCAGCAGCCCCAGCGCGGCCUCGGCGUCCUCUGCCGCCAACUGCUCCGUGACCGCUGGGCGUGUGUGCGGGGACAUGGGAGCAACUUCACAGUGGUGGGAAGUUUCUCUCCUAAAACGAAAGCUUCUCUAUACUACAGAUUGGCCCCAUUAAAUAAAAGAAAAUACGGUGUA